GACGAACGCUGGCGGCGUGCUUAACACAUGCAAGUCGAACGGAAAGGCCUGCUUUCCCUUGUGGAUUGCGGGUACUCGAGUGGCGAACGGGUGAGUAACACGUGAGUGAUCUGCCCCCAACUUGGGUAUAAGCCUGGGAAACUGGGUCUAAUUCCCGAUAGGACUGCAGGGUGGUGCCUGUGGUGGAAAACGAUUUUCUAGUGGUUGGGGAUGAGCUGGCGGCCUAUCAGCUUGUUGGUGGGGUAAUGGCCUACCAAGGCGGCGACGGGUAGCCGGCCUGAGAGGGUGGACGGCCACAUUGGGACUGAGAUACGGCCCAGACUCCUACGGGAGGCAGCAGUGGGGAAUAUUGCACAAUGGGCGGAAGCCUGAUGCAGCGACGCCGCGUGGGGGAUGACGGCCUUCGGGUUGUAAACUCCUUUCGACCGAGAGGAAGCCACCUGGUUGGAAGGGUGGUGACGGUAGUGGUAGAAGAAGCACCGGCUAACUACGUG
rnacentral:rRNA from 1 species